GUACAACUCUAUUAUUAUUUUUAUUUAUUAUCAUCAUUGAAGUGCAGUUUUGGCUGUUGACAAUGGAUAGGCCAUUGUAUUUAUUGUUUUGGGUCUUUUUUUAUUGUUUUUGGUGCAACAUUUUCUAACAGGGAGUGAGAUUCCUUUUUUAUUUAAUUUUUGUUUGUUAUUUUUAUUCAUUUAGAAGUUCUGGUUCUGGACAUUUCAAUGUUAAAUGAAGGUUUAUUUGUUGCAUUUUAAAGGGUGUACUUGCAUUAUUAUGAUAUAUUAACAUUAUAUUAGUGGUUAUUUUGGUCUAGAUAAUGUUGACAAUGAUAUCGUUUAUCAUCAACAAUUUGUUGGACAAAAUAUCGUCCAGCAAAAUUUGUUACUUUCCCAGGCCUAGUCAAAAGUAUAAAAAUUAUUUAUACAUAAACGGUCCCUCCUGAGAUCUGGCCGUUUGUUCAUUUGCUGUGUUAGAGGACAUGCUGAACUAAUGUUUUACACAUGAUCAUCACCCUAACAUUUGAGUGUAUAAAAACAUAUUAAAUAUGUUUUUCCCUUAAAAGUGUUUAAACAGUUGUUGCAUUUCAACACACACAAAAAAUGGAAAAAAUAAGAUAAAUCUAAUGAAAAGUGUACAUCUAUGACAUUAAGCUUAAAAAAUCUGUUGACGAUGAUACUGUUCAUUUUUCAGAGCUUUUUAAUGUGAACAUAUACAUUGCAAUAGAUAAGUUUACAAUAAAGUUAAAUGAUAAAAGUUUUGAAGUUACACUUCUACUACUACUACUACUAGUAAUAAUAAUUAUGAUGAUAAUAGUAAUAAUAAUAAAACAAUAAUUAUAAUAAUACGAAUAAAUUGUGUCUGAGGAGUCAGUUAUGUGGAGGAGAUGAGUUUGUAAAAGUUAGUUUUGAGUAUGUUUGUGAAGGAGGAGGUGAGUGAGCUUAAUGCAGGGGUGUCACAUGUUCCAACUUACGUUUUGACUUUGAAAGAAGUCUCUUAUAUCCACUUUUCGUUUUCUUGACAUGCUGCCUCCUGGCUGUGCCUAACUACCAAAGACUCACAAAUGAACACUUAUUCAAAUGUUAUGUAAUGGAAGCUGAGCUGAGCUCUGAUAUUACACAGCGUCUAGUUGACGGUGACUCAGUACCGGUGUUCCCUAGCGGCUCCAAACUAGCAAAACAACGUGAGCACGUUCUGACUGUUUACAACUUGAGUGACAGCAGCAACAGCCAAUAAUACGUUAGCAAGUAUCAGCAGAGCCAAUAGAUUAGCUUUUGGGCGGGUCUAAUAGGAAACCGGUUUCCGUUUCGGUCCUAGUGCUCAACUAAAUCCAUUUAAUGGCGCGUAACAUUGUUUUUGGACGGAAAAAAGUGCAGGGGACCAAAACUGCCUUUUGAAAAAGUGGGGGGGACAUGUCCCACCCGUCCCCCCCCAAAUUUACGUCCCAGGUUUUGGUUGACACAUCUCUGCAACAUUGUGUGGACAUUAUUGCUGGUAUAUUACGGGUGGUAUAUUAGGGGUGGUAUAUUAGGGGUGGUACCUGUGAAGUGCCUAAUCACUACCCCAGGUGGUUCCCAUUUUCAAAAUAGGGGAACUAGAGGUUGCGUUCCAAAUAUAGGGGCAAUCACACUUUCCUUCCUUCAUGGAAAGAUCUACUUGGAGGUACUGCAGAAGGGUGUCCCAUCACUAGUUGAAUCUUGGAUUGAAGAGGAGCAAUGUGGUUUUCGUUGUAGACGUGGAUCCAUUGACCAAGUCUUUAUCCUUGCUAGGGUGCUUAAUGUGGCAUAAAAGUUUGGCUAAUCAAUCCAAAUGUGUUUUGUGGAUCUGGAAAAGGGGCACCCUAUGGGGCACUCAAAGACUAUGGGUGGAUAGCCCCUGUAUAAAGAGAGUGUAAGUCUGUUCCACAUUGCUGUCAAUAAGUUGGACUUGUUCCUGGUGAGGGUAGGACUCUGCCGGGGCUGCCCUUUGUCACUGGUUCUUUUUAUGGUCUCCAUGAGCAGAAUUUCUAGACGUAGCCAUGGGGUGGAGGUAGGGUUGCCAACCGUCCCUUGAAAAACGGAAUCGUCCCGUAUUUAGAAACACAAGUGCGCGUCCCGUAUUGAACUCAAAAGGGACGCACUUUGUCCCGUAAUAUAGUAUGGAUCAAAAUUAGUCUGUAGUCUAUUACCGGAAUUAACGCUUUGUUUGAAAGCCAGCCCUUCGCCUGCUCUGUGACCAAUGAACUGACCGCAUGCUUACAUACGAAUAUGACGAUACAGAUUACCGCUUAUUUCAUUGGUCGAGGAACGGUCGCUUGGGGAGAAGAUACCGGAAGAAAACAGACGACAGCAAACAGCACGGCCAACCAGGAAACGAACGCCGACACUGCUGUACAAGUCUCGGACGACAGUACCCCUCCGAGAAAGAAGAAAAAAGGCUUCAAAAAUACAGGGAGGAAUGGGAAAAGGAAAAUUCCUGGCUGUAAAAACUGCGCGAUAACACCUAUAAAGCGCACUGCACCGUGUACCGGCGCAGUUUUUCCAAAGGGCAUGGUGGACUCACUGACCUCAAGCAACAUGCGUCUAGUAGUAGCCACAUGAAAAACAUAAAGGACGUGAAAUUACGGGGAACCCUCGAUCAGUUUGUCGUCCACAAAGCCACGGCAGAAGCAGAUAUGGUUAAACAUCUCUAUGGAUGAGCUUUAUGACGAGUGUGUCACUGCAACCAGCCUUCUGGAGCCCCUCACCAAAGGACCUCAGGAGAAGGAAAAGUGGCAGUCCAAGGGAACAGCAGAGAAGUGUAUAGAAAUUCUUCAGGCAGCUGACCUCUCCAACAUCCAGCCUGUUGUAUCGUUUGUACUCAGCAUCCCAUCUUCCACUGGAUUGGCAGAGAGGAUUUUCUCUCUCAUGAAGAAUAAGUGGACUGAUGUGCGGAACAAAUGUUCUACUGAAAUAAUUAGAUGUGAGCUCAUUGUCACUCUAAAUUGUGACAUGUUUUGCUCAGAGUUUUACUCUGCAGUACUGAAAGACAACUCCUAAAUGCAGCAAGAUCUCAAAAGAAAUACAAAUGGAGAAAAUAGUCUGUUUUCACAUAAUGUAGCAUUGAGCUUUUGAGUUCAUGAGUUUGGACUUUUUUUUUUUUUACUUCAACCGUAGGCUACAGUCAAGGCCUUUGAGGCACAAAUAUGUUUACAGCUUCUCCACAGACUUUCUGUUUGCACUUUUCUAAUUGCACUCAAUGUGCAGUUACAGCGUUGCUCUUUCUGUUGUUUUCUAUUAAUUUAUACAAUUUUAAGUUAAGCAGAACAGAGUUGUUUUAAAGAGAGUUAUUUAUAUUCUAAAAAGUAAAGCAUAACAGGCUACCGUUUAAGAAAGAGACCUACUUUUUUUUUGUCAUUUUGCACAAAAAGUUGAGCAUAACAGUAUUCUGUUUAAGAAAAAUACCUUUGUUACUUAUAAUAAUUUUGUAAUUUCACGCCAUAAAUAAAUGGCUAAAUGAUCAUUUGUUUCCCAUGUUUUCAUAUCACAAAGACUAUGCAUCUUCUUAAACCAACUUCAAGUCAAAUAGUAAAAAAAUAAAAUCCUUUCACACCCACACACAAAAAAAGAGCAAAAAAUCACCACGCUGGGAAGGGUGGCCUGGAGCGGCCGGCCCUGCCUGCGAGGUGUCCCUUAUUUAUUUUUCAGGGAGUUGGCAACCCUAGGUGGAGGGUGUCGCGUUUGGUGGCAGGAGGAUCUGGUCUCUGCUUUUUGGGGAGGAUUUAGUUGUCUUGUCCUGAUCAAGAAGUAACCAUCAGUGCUUUCUGGGGAGGUUUACUGCUGAGUGUGAAGCAGCUGGGAUGAAGACAGCAUCUCUAUGUUCGUGCCCAUGAUUCUUGACCAGAAAAGAGUGACUGGGGACAGAAUGGGGCAGAGGUCCUACCUAAAGUGGGGCAGUUUAAGUGUCUUGGGGAUCUACGGAUGUGGACUAAACUAGUCAGUUGUGGUGAAUAGGGAGCUAAACCAGAAAGCAAAGUUCUAAUUUACUGGGCGAUCUUCAUCCAAAUUCUCACCUAUGCUCAUGAACUGUGGGGAAUGACAGAAAGGAUAAGAUUGCAAACACAAGCAGCAUAAAUUAGUUUUCUUCAUCAGAUGGCUGGGCUUGGGUGAAGGUCUGAACAUUCAGGAAAGACUCAGAGUAGAGACAUGGUCCCUCCAUGUCCAGAGGAGCCAGUUGAGGUGGUUUGGUCAUUUGAUUAGAAUGCCCCAUAACACCUCAUGGAGAGGUGUUAUAGUGAUUUCCGAAAGGCAGGAGGGUUAACCAAGGACAUGUUGGAGAGAUUAUAUGUCCAUGUUGGCAAGGAACCACUGAGGAUCCUGCUGGUGGAACUGGCGAUGGUUGCUGGGGAAAGGGAGCUUUGGUCCUCUGCAGGAGCUGCAACCUAGCAAACCAGACUCAGAUAAGCAGGUGAAAAAGGACAGACCGGUUUGACCCUUUUAGGCUUUUGUAGUAAUGUAGUAGAGAUACAAAGACAGUGAAAAAUCCUUAGCAAUAAAAGCUGACCCAUAUCCAGUGUGUUACAGGCACCAAUGCCUGUCUAUCUGUCCCUGUCUGUUUUUGUUUGUUUGUUUUUUUUCCUCAGAGGUUUUGGCUACUUGUUUUGUGCUCCUCUGACAUUAGAGUAUUAAAGGCUUUGAACACAAAUCUGAAAA